AUUUGGGGAUAGAGGGACUUGAACCCUCACAACUUAUAAAGUCGACGGAUUUUCCUUUUACUAGAAAUUUCAUUGUUGUCAGUAUUGACAUGUAGAAUGGGACUCUCUCUUUGUCCUCGUCCGAUUAAUCCACUUUUUUAAAGAUCUCGAAAACUUUGAAUUUGAAUUGAAGAAUUUGAUUAUUCAAUAUUCGAUUGGAGUGGAUUCACAAUAAUGAAAAAAAAUUAUGAUAUGAGUUUUUAUGAGUUUUUUAUUUCAUAAUCAUUAUCAUUUCUAAUUUCAUUUUUAAAAAAGAUAAAGAACCUAUAUUAUAAUUAUAAUAUAAUAUGAGUUCUGUGAUUAAUCGUUUGCUAUGUCAGUAUCUAUACGUGUUUAUUAAAUGUAUAAGGUAUAAAACCCCUCUUUCUCUAAUUUAGAAUUAGAAGGAAUUCC
rnacentral:rRNA from 1 species